AAUGAACGCUGGCGGCAUGCCUAACACAUGCAAGUCGAACGAAGGCUUCGGCCUUAGUGGCGCACGGGUGCGUAACGCGUGGGAAUCUGCCCUCAGGUUCGGAAUAACAGCGAGAAAUUGCUGCUAAUACCGGAUGAUAUCGCGAGAUCAAAGAUUCAUCGCCAGAGGAUGAGCCCGCGUAGGAUUAGCUAGUUGGUGUGGUAAAGGCGCACCAAGGCGGCGAUCCUUAGCUGGUCUGAGAGGAUGAUCAGCCACACUGGGACUGAGACACGGCCCAGACUCCUACGGGAGGCAGCAGUGGGGAAUAUUGGACAAUGGGCGAAAGCCUGAUCCAGCAAUGCCGCGUGAGUGAUGAAGGCCUUAGGGUUGUAAAGCUCUUUUACCCGGGAUGAUAAUGACAGUACCGGGAGAAUAAGCUCCGGCUAACUCCGUGCCAGCCGCCGCCGUAA
rnacentral:rRNA from 1 species